GAGAUCGGGAUAACACCUGGAAACAGAUGCUAAUACCGGAUGACAACAGAUGAUGCCUAUCAACUGUUUAAAAGAUGGUUCUGCUAUCACUCUUGGAUGGACCUGCGGUGCAUUAGCUAGUUGGUAGGGUAACGGCCUACCAAGGCGAUGAUGCAUAGCCGAGUUGAGAGACUGAUCGGCCACAUUGGGACUGAGACACGGCCCAAACUCCUACGGGAGGCAGCAGCU
rnacentral:rRNA from 1 species